GAUGAAGAACGCAGCGAAAUGCGAUACUUGGUGUGAAUUGCAGAAUCCCGUGAACCAUCGAGUCUUUGAACGCAAGUUGCGCCCGAAGCCAUUAGGCCGAGGGCACGCCUGCCUGGGCGUCACACGUCGUUGCCCCCCCAUCUACUCCUUCGGGAUUGCGGGGGGCGGAUGAUGGCCUCCCGUGCGCCUCGCCGCGCGGUGGGCAUAAAUGCCAAGUCCUCGGCGACGCACGCCACGACAAUCGGUGGUUGCGAAACCUCGGUUGCCCGUCGUGUGCGGUCGUCGCGCAUCGAGGGCUCGAAAAAAUUGCCGGGUUCCGGCUCGGCUUUCAACGCGACCCCAGGUCAGGCGGGGUUACCCGCUGAAUUUAAGCAUAUCAAUAAGCGGAGGA
rnacentral:misc_RNA from 1 species